UACGUAGGGCGCAAGCGUUGUCCGGAAUUACUGGGCGUAAAGCGUGCGCAGGCGGUUUGUUAAGUCCGUUGUGAAAGCCCCGAGCUCAACUUGGGAAUUGCAGUGGAUACUGGCAGGCUGGAGUACGGUAGAGGAAGGUGGAAUUCCCGGUGUAGCAGUGAAAUGCGUAGAGAUCGGGAGGAACACCAGUGGCGAAGGCGGCCUUCUGGACCAGUACUGACGCUCAUGCACGAAAGCGUGGGGAGCAAACAGG
rnacentral:rRNA from 1 species